UUGGAGAUCUGGCCACCCGCUUCAUCAGCCGGUUUAUCGCCGGGGUGCCCGCAGAUAGGAAGACGAGUUACCUGGAGACGGUCAGACAGAGGAGAGAUGAAUCACUCAGGGAAUACGUCGCCCGUUUCAACACGGAAGCCUUGCAAAUUUCUGAGCUCGAUGAAGGAAGGGCUGUAGAAGCCAUGCAGAAGGGGACGACCUCAGCCGAGUUCUUUGGUUCAUUAAGCAGGAAGCUUCCGAC
rnacentral:lncRNA from 1 species